rnacentral:rRNA from 1 species
AAAUGACUCUCGGCAACGGAUAUCUCGGCUCUCGCAUCGAUGAAGAACGUAGCAAAAUGCGAUACUUGGUGUGAAUUGCAGAAUCCCGUGAACCAUCGAGUCUUUGAACGCAAGUUGCGCCCCAAGCCUUCUGGCCGAGGGCACGUCUGCCUGGGUGUCACAA